rnacentral:misc_RNA from 1 species
GAGAGAGUCCUCUUUUAAUGUCGGCAAGUAGCACUCUCCUGCCCUAUGUUGGGAGCAUGGGAAGGCCUUCAUUUACUCAGAGUGUGGGUUUGCUCUCCUUAUCUCUGGGUGAGGUGUAUAUAAAAUUUUUGCAGACAAGUGGUGAUAAAGUGAGGGUCUUCUAGUGGUCUGCCUCUGUGUUUCAACCCAGCAACUCAAAGCUUCAAUAAGGGAUUUGAAGAUCUAUUCCCUCUGUGUGUUGGAUUGAUGUUGUUUUGGUUAUCUCUUCAUAUCGAUAUGUUACUUAUGGUAUGGUAGAUCCUAGAGAUGCUACCAUAUCCUUCGGUUGACAUUCAGUCUCUUAAAUGAUCAUGAAUGCCUAAAAGAGAGAGCACCUACGACCUGAAGAUCCUUUGUUUGAUCAUGUCUUUAGCCAUAUAUUUUGGUCUGGGGCUAUACUUGUUUGUAGGGGUUUCGUCUAAUUCAGGCAUCACCUUCUUUUUCCGAUGUUUUGGCCUUUCUUACGUGUGUUUUCUUAGCGUUGUUAUUGUCUGGCUUGUUGCUCUCUGUGCGAUGCUUCUCUACUGUUGGCUCGCCGACUACAAUUUGGAGCCUCCGAUUCUGAAUGUUUCUUCGUUUGGAGUCAAAGGCCUUUGUAUUUAAAGUUGGGUGGCUUUUAAAAUAAGAGUUUUUCUAAUGAUUUACUCCCUACGUCUCAUUGUAACUG